CUUCCGGGAACCAGUGCCGUAUAAUAUGCAACUAACGGUAUGAUGAAUUUUUCAGCACAAAUCAUGAUAAGUGCAACUGAGCGUCUCAUAUAGAUGAUAUACGGAUAUCGCGCAGAAGAUGUACAAAUUAAUACGUCGAUUUAGUAUCAGCUAGCAUUGCAAUGGUAUCGUGGUUAUCACUAUCAAUGCUAUCCAUUAGUGAUGAAGUAGUAAUAUUGGCUGGGAUAUAGGGACCACAGCC